AGCUACAUAAAGGGUUAUAGGGAUUUUAUGGUGUUCACAUGCAUGCUUAUUAAACAAAGUAAAAAAUUCUCCAAAGAUUAGGUGGGUAGGUCCUGUAUGCAUUAAUUGGUGAAAUAAAGUGAAAAAGAGCAUGUGAGCAUGAAAGGUAAACAAUUAUAUGUGAAUGUGUACACGUAAAAUGAGGGGUGUGGUUAGUGCUUACUUG
rnacentral:lncRNA from 1 species